rnacentral:rRNA from 1 species
GACGAACGCUGGCGGCGUGCUUAACACAUGCAAGUCGAACGGUGAAGCGCCUUCCUUUUUGGUGGGUGUGGAUGAGUGGCGAACGGUUGAUUAAAACGUAAGUAACCUGCCCCCUUCUUCUGGAUAACCGCAUGAAAGUUUGGCGAAUACGGGAUUUUCUGUGUCUGUCGCAUGAUGGGUCUGGGAAAGAUAUUGUUUCGGGGGGGUAGGGGGUGGCGGCUUAUCAGCUUUUUGUGGGGGGGAUGGCCUACUAAGGCGGGGAGGGGUCGCCGGCUUGGGAGGGUGGACCGUCACACUGGGACAGCGACACGGACCAGACUCCGAAGGGAGGCAGCAGUGGGGAAUAUUGCAAAAUGGGCGCAAGGCUGAUGCAGCGACGCCGCGUGAGGGAUGGAGGCCUUCGGGUUGUGAACAUCUUUCGCCAGUGAAGCAGGCCUGCCUCGUUUGUGGGUGGGUUGACGGUAGCUGGAGAAGAAGCGCCGGCUAACUACGUG